rnacentral:rRNA from 1 species
AUUGAACGCUGGCGGCAGGCCUAACACAUGCAAGUCGAACGAGUGGCGGACGGGUGAGUAAUGUCUUGGAAACUGCCUGAUGGAGGGGGAUAACUACUGGAAACGGUAGCUAAUACCGCAUCCCAUCAGAUCUGCCCAGAUGGGAUUAGUUUGGUGGUGGGGUAACGGCUCACCAAGGCGGCGAUCCCUAGCUGGUCUGAGAGGAUGGCCAGCCACCCUGGAACGGAGCCACGGUCCAGGCUACUGCGGGAGGCAGCAGUGGCGAAUAUUGGGCAAUGGGCGGAAGCCUGGUGCAGCGAUGCAGCGUGUAUGAAGAAGGCCUUCGGGUUGUAAAGUCCUUUCAGCGGGGAGACGUUACCCGCAGAAGAAGCACCGGCUAACUACGUGCCAGCAGCCGCGGUAAUUC